GACGAACGCUGGCGGCAGGCCUAACACAUGCAAGUCGAGCGGAGCGGCGGACGGGCGGGUAAUGCCUAGGAAUCUGCCUGGUAGUGGGGGAUAACGUCCGGAAACGGGCGCUAAUACAGCCUCCUCUCAAAUGAGCCUAGGUCGGAUUAGCUAGUUGGGGGGGUAAAGGCCUACAAAGGCGACGAUCCGUAACUGGUCUGAGAGGAUGAUCAGUCACACUGGAACUGAGACACGGUCCAGACUCCUACGGGAGGCAGCAGUGGGGAAUAUUGGACAAUGGGCGAAAGCCUGAUGCAGCCAUGCCGCGUGUGUGAAGAAGGUCUUCGGAUUGUAAAGCACUUUAAGUUGGGAGGCGUUACCAACAGAAUAAGCACCGGCUAACUUCGUGCCAGCCGCCGCGGUAAUAC
rnacentral:rRNA from 1 species